GGCUCGUUGGUUUAGGGGCAUGAUUUAUGCUUCAAGUGUGAGAGGUCCCAGGUUCAAAUCCCAUACAAGCCC